rnacentral:rRNA from 1 species
CCUACGGUGUGCUGCAGUGGGGAAUAUUGCACAAUGGGCGAAAGCCUGAUGCAGCAACGCCGCGUGAAGGAAGACGGUUUUCGGAUUGUAAACUUCUAUCAAUAGGGAAGAAAGAAAUGACGGUACCUAUAUAAUAAGCCUCGGCUAACUACGUUCCAGCAGCCGCGGUAAUACGUAGGCGGCAAGCGUUCUCCGGAAUUACUGGGUGUAAAGGGAGAGUAGGCGGCAAGGUAAGCGAUAUGUGAAAGCCUUAAGCUUAACUUAAGGAUUGGAGCACGAACUAUCUAGCUAGAGUUCAGGAGAGGAAGGCGGAAUUCCUGGUGUAGCGGUGAAAUGCGUAGAUAUUAGGAAGAACACCAGUGGCGAAGGCGGCUUUCUGGACUGAAACUGACGCUGAGGCUCGAAAGCGUGGGGAGCGAACAGGAUUAGAUACCCGUGUAGUC